UACAGAGGGUGCAAGCGUUAAUCGGAAUUACUGGGCGUAAAGCGCGCGUAGGUGGUUUGUUAAGUUGGAUGUGAAAGCCCCGGGCUCAACCUGGGAACUGCAUUCAAAACUGACAAGCUAGAGUAUGGUAGAGGGUGGUGGAAUUUCCUGUGUAGCGGUGAAAUGCGUAGAUAUAGGAAGGAACACCAGUGGCGAAGGCGACCACCUGGACUGAUACUGACACUGAGGCGCGAAAGCGUGGGGAGCAAACAGG
rnacentral:rRNA from 1 species